CCCUGUUUAAGCGCGUAGGCGGAGAUCUUAGGUAAAUCCGGGAUCUCAUACGCUGAGACGUAAUGACGAGUUGGCACUUGUGCUGACGAAGUAGCUGAUGCCCCACUUCCAGGAAAAUCUUCUAAGCUUCAGGUAACGGCAGACCGUACUGUAAACCGACACAGGUGAUCUGGUAGAGAAUACCAAGGCGCUUGAGAGAACUUGGGUGAAGGAACUAGGCAAAAUAGUACCGUAACUUCGGGAGAAGGUACGCUCCCUUUGGUGAAGCACUUGCUGCGUAAGCCGGGGGGAGUCGAAGAAAUCAGGUAGCUGCAACUGUUUAUUAAAAACACAGCACUCUGCAAACACGUAAGUGGAAGUAUAGGGUGUGACGCCUGCCCGGUGCCGGAAGGUUAAUUGAUGGGGUCAGCGUAAGCGAAGCUCUUGAUUGAAGCCCCGGUAAACGGCGGCCGUAACAAUAACGGUCCUAAGGUAGCGAAAUUCCUUGUCGGGUAAGUUCCGACCUGCACGAAUGGCGUAAUGAUGGCUACACUGUCUCCACCCAAGACUCAGUGAAAUUGAAAUCGCUGUUAAGAUGCAGUGUACCCGCGGCUAGACGGAAAGACCCCGUGAACCUUUACUAUAGCUUCACAUUGGACUUUGAUAUUACUUGUGUAGGAUAGCUGGGAGGCUGUGAAACCGGGACGCUAGUUCCGGUGGAGCCAACCUUGAAAUACCAGCCUGGUGAUGUCGGGGUUCUAACGCUGGUCCCUAAUCGGGAUUGCGGACAAUGUGUGGUGGGUAGUUUACUGGGGCGGUCUCCUCCUAAAGAGUAACGGAGGAGCACGAGGGUACCCUAAUGACGGUCGGAAAUCGUCAGGUUUGUGCAUAGGCAUAAGGGUGCUUGACUGCGAGAGUGACAACUCGAGCAGGUGCGAAAGCAGGUCUAAGUGAUCCGGUGGUUCUGAAUGGAAGGGCCAUCGCUCAACGGAUAAAAGGUACUCCGGGGAUAACAGGCUGAUACCGCCCAAGAGUUCACAUCGACGGCGGUGUUUGGCACCUCGAUGUCGGCUCAUCACAUCCUGGGGCUGAAGCCGGUCCCAAGGGUAUGGCUGUUCGCCAUUUAAAGUGGUACGCGAGCUGGGUUUAGAACGUCGUGAGACAGUUCGGUCCCUAUCUGCCGUGGGCGUUGGAGAUUUGAGAAGAGUUGUUCCUAGUACGAGAGGACCGGAAUGAACGAACCUCUAGUGUUCGGGUUGUGUCGCCAGACGCAUUGCCCGGUAGCUAUGUUCGGACGGGAUAACCGCUGAAAGCAUCUAAGCGGGAAGCCCCCUUCGAGACGAGAUCUCCCUGGAGCUUUAAGCUCCCUAAAGUGCCGUUGAAGACGACGACGUUGAUAGGCUGGGUGUGUAAGGGUUGCGAGGCCUUGAGCUAACCAGUACUAAUUGCACGUGAGGCUUGAUC
rnacentral:rRNA from 1 species